CAGCAGGUAGACGUGGUGAGUUUAUGGCACGGGUGGAGGGUGGGAAUCGGGAUGGAGGGGCUGCGAGAGAGGGAACAAACUCCAUGACAAGA